rnacentral:miRNA from 8 species
CCGACAAAGUGGCUGCGAUGUG